GCGGGGAAGGCAGGCGCGAAGGGGUGCAGGGAAGAAGGAGGAGGAGGCGGCAGUGGCGGUGGCCAUGGCAGAAGCGGAAACAGGAGCAGCAGCAGCAGCAGCAGCAGCAGCGGCAGGAGAGGCACACAGGAGCCAGAUCCUCAAGGCUUUGUAUGCCACAUUAGGAAAGAAUUUGGAAUAGAGCUUCUGGUUGGAAAACAUUUUCUGUAACCAGCCCGACAAACUUGUAUUUGACAUCAGUUAGCCUAACUCAGACCCUGACCUUGCCUUCGUAUUUGGGGAAGAGCCUGAUCUUCAAGAUGGACCCAACCUCAAUAGAAACAAAAAUAUGACCUGCCAGCGUCACACAACUUUCAUACAAAGAAAUCA